AAGUCGUAACAAGGUUUCCGUAGGUGAACCUGCGGAAGGAUCAUUACAGAUUUAAUGAUCAUAGAAAUAUAUUUCCUAUGCCAACUAGUUCUAAAAUAUACUAUUAUCAUCAAUAACUUUAUAUAUAGAUUAAAGUUUUCCGCUAGUGGAUAGUUGUUAGAUGAAAUGAAUUGCAAAAAAAAAAAAAAAAAAUCACUUUUAGCGGGGGAUCACUAGGCUCGUGG
rnacentral:misc_RNA from 1 species